rnacentral:rRNA from 1 species
GAUGAACGCUGGCGGCGUGCCUAAUACAUGCAAGUCGAGCGAACAGACGAGGAGUUUGCUCCUCUGACGUUAGCGGCGGACGGGUGAGUAACACGUGGAUAACCUACCUAUAAGACUGGGAUAACUUCGGGAAACCGGAGCUAAUACCGGAUAAUAUAUUGAACCGCAUGGUUCAAUAGUGAAAGACGGUUUUGCUGUCACUUAUAGAUGGAUCCGCGCCGCAUUAGCUAGUUGGUAAGAUAACGGCUUACCAAGGCAACGAUGCGUAGCCGACCUGAGAGGGUGAUCGGCCACACUGGAACUGAGACACGGUCCAGACUCCUACGGGAGGCAGCAGUAGGGAAUCUUCCGCAAUGGGCGAAAGCCUGACGGAGCAACGCCGCGUGAGUGAUGAAGGUCUUCGGAUCGUAAAACUCUGUUAUUAGGGAAGAACAAAUGUGUAAGUAACUAUGCACGUCUUGACGGUACCUAAUCAGAAGGCCACGGCUAACUACGUG